rnacentral:lncRNA from 1 species
UAAGCCUUCCUUAGAUCCACUUUAAGAACACAUCUAGGUGAAACUCCUUUCCUAGAGUAUCCUUUAAAGAUUUCAUGACUGAGAAGGAUGUUAUCCAUUAUACUCCUGCCUUCUAUACAAGCAGAUUGUGCAGGUCCAACCAAGUCUCCAAUUACUCUCUUCAUUCUACUCUCUUCAUUUUCAUCUGGAUAUUUCAUAGAGGAGAGCUUCUUUAAAUAAGAAAUUAUU